GUAAUUUUGUUCUUGUCUUCUUUACAAGAGAAGAGACAAAUGU
rnacentral:sRNA from 1 species